UACGUAGGGUGCGAACGUUGUUCGGAUUCACUGGGCUUAAAGGGCGCGUAGGCGGAUUCGUAAGUUCGGGGUGAAAUCCUCCGGCUCAACCGGAGAAGUGCCUCGGAUACUGCGAGUCUUGAGGGAGGUAGGGGCCGCGGGAACUUCCGGUGGAGCGGUGAAAUGCGUUGAUAUCGGAAGGAACGCCGGUGGCGAAAGCGCGCGGCUGGUCCUCUUCUGACG
rnacentral:rRNA from 1 species